rnacentral:rRNA from 1 species
UAAUACGGAGGAUCCAAGCGUUAUCCGGAUUUAUUGGGUUUAAAGGGUGCGUAGGCGGUAAAUUAAGUCAGAGGUGAAAGCCUGCAGCUCAACUGUAGAACUGCCUUUGAUACUGGUUUACUUGAGUACAGAUGAAGUGGGCGGAAUGUGACAAGUAGCGGUGAAAUGCAUAGAUAUGUCACAGAACACCGAUUGCGAAGGCAGCUCACUAAAGUGUAACUGACGCUGAGGCACGAAAGCGUGGGGAUCAAACAGGAUUAGAUACCCUGGUAGUCCACGCCCUAAACGAUGAUUACUCGCUGUCGGCGAUAUACAGUCGGCGGCUAAGCGAAAGCGUUAAGUAAUCCACCUGGGGAGUACGGUCGCAAGAUUGAAACUCAAAGGAAUUGACGGGGGCCCGCACAAGCGGAGGAGCAUGUGGUUUAAUUCGAUGAUACGCGAGGAACCUUACCCGGGCUUGAAAGUUACUGAAGUUAGUAGAAAUAUUAACGUCCGCAAGGACAGGAAACUAGGUGCUGCAUGGCUGUCGUCAGCUCGUGCCGUGAGGUGUUGGGUUAAGUCCCGCAACGAGCGCAACCCCUAUGUUUAGUUGCCAGCAUUAAGAUGGGGACUCUAAACAGACUGCCUACGCAAGUAGAGAGGAAGGAGGGGACGACGUCAAGUCAUCAUGGCCCUUACGUCCGGGGCUACACACGUGCUACAAUGGAUGGUACAGAGGGCUGCGACCUGGUAACAGGAAGCCAAUCUCAAAAAGCCAUUCACAGUUCGGAUUGAGGUCUGCAACUCGACCUCAUGAAGUUGGAUUCGCUAGUAAUCGCGUAUCAGCAAUGACGCGGUGAA